ACGCUCGACACCUACGGGAGGCAGCAGUGGGGAAUAUUGCACAAUGGGGGAAACCCUGAUGCAGCGACGCCGCGUGGAGGAAGAAGGUCUUCGGAUUGUAAACUCCUGUUGUUGGGAAAAAGAGGAUGGUACCCAACAAGGAAGUGACGGCUAACUACGUGCCGGCAGCCGCGGUAAUCUGAGCGGGCUGGCAAGGC
rnacentral:rRNA from 1 species